AAUAUGGCACAACGGGGGACACCCUGAUGCAGCGACGCCGCGGCAGCGAAGAAGGCGUUCGGGUCGUAAAGCUCUGUCCUAAGGGAAGAAACGGACGGUACUAUAGGAGGAAGCACCCGCUAACUACGUCCCAGCAGCCGCGGUAAUACGUAGGGGGCGAGCGUUAUCCGGAAGUAUUGGGCGUAAAGGGUGAGUAGGCGGCUUUUUAAGUCAGAGGUGAAAGGCUACGGCUUAACCGGAGUUAGCACUUGAAACUAAAAGGCUUGAGUGCAGGAGAGGAGAGUGGAAUUCCUAGUGUAGCGGUGAAAUGCGUAGAUAUUAGGAGGAACACCAGUGGCGAAGGCGACUCUCUGGACUGCAACUGACGCUGAGGCACGAAAGCGUGGGGAGCGAACAG
rnacentral:rRNA from 1 species